CCUACGGGAGGCAGCAGUGGGGAAUAUUGGACAAUGGGGGCAACCCUGAUCCAGCCAUGCCGCGUGUGUGAAGAAGGCCCUCGGGUUGUAGAGCACUUUCAGUGAGGAAGAACGCCUGGUGGUUAAUACCCAUCAGGAAAGACAUCACUCACAGAAGAAGCACCGGCUAACUCCGUGCCAGCAGCCGCGGUAAUACGGAGGGUGCGAGCGUUAAUCGGAAUUACUGGGCGUAAAGCGCGCGUAGGUGGCUUGAUAAGCCGGUUGUGAAAGCCCCGGGCUCAACCUGGGAACGGCAUCCGGAACUGUCAAGCUAGAGUGCAGGAGAGGAAGGUAGAAUUCCCGGUGUAGCGGUGAAAUGCGUAGAGAUCGGGAGGAAUACCAGUGGCGAAGGCGGCCUUCUGGACUGACACUGACACUGAGGUGCGAAAGCGUGGGUAGCAAACAGGAUUAGAUACCCUAGUAGUC
rnacentral:rRNA from 1 species